AGGAGUCAUACUGCUACUUGUGGGCUCAACUCUCCCGAGCUCCUCCCCAAGCAGCCGUCUCUCAUUACCCGCCCCCGCCCCCGCCCCCAGGGAUCGCUUUACUGUUGAGCCCUGCUGGAAGAAAUCGGGCCCUAAGUGUGGUCUCAGCUGUCAAGUGUUGAGGAGCCUGGAAAGUGGUUUGAAAACCAAGUUCUGCGCAUUAGUAUCCUUCCCCCACAACUGAUGAUGACACUUCAUUUGUGCUUAAAGAGGACCACUUCACCUUCAUUGGAUACAGCCUUACUUCAGCUGUUAAUCAAGAUCAUAUCCAGAUACCACCACAAUGCCUUCAUUCAACAUCAAAGAGGCUGUUCUCUGCUCAGAGAGGGACCACAACGAGGACUUC